UACGAAGGGGGCUAGCGUUGCUCGGAAUUACUGGGCGUAAAGGGCGCGUAGGCGGACAGUUUAGUCGGAGGUGAAAGCCCAGGGCUCAACCUUGGAAUUGCCUUUGAUACUGGCUGUCUUGAGUUCGGGAGAGGUGAGUGGAAUGCCGAGUGUAGAGGUGAAAUUCGUAGAUAUCGAGAAGAACACCGGCGGCGAAGGCGGCCAUCUGGACGGUGACUGACACUGAGACGCGAAAGCGUGGGGAGCAAACAGG
rnacentral:rRNA from 1 species